UUAUGAAUAAAUAAAAUGUUUUUUAAAAAUAACAAAAGUUCUGCAAACAGUAGCCUCCUUGGUAGUGUAUGCAGCCUGUUGAUUGUAUGGGUUGCCCUAAGGGACCUUGGAGACAGCC
rfam:Canis lupus familiaris chromosome 1, whole genome shotgun sequence.